rnacentral:rRNA from 1 species
AAGUCGUAACAAGGUCUCCGUAGGUGAACCUGCGGAGGGAUCAUUACAAGAACGCCCGGGCUUCGGCCUGGUUAUUCAUAACCCUUUGUUGUCCGACUCUGUUGCCUCCGGGGCGACCCUGCCUUCGGGCGGGGGCUCCGGGUGGACACUUCAAACUCUUGCGUAACUUUGCAGUCUGAGUAAACUUAAUUAAUAAAUUAAAACUUUUAACAACGGAUCUCUUGGUUCUGGCAUCGAUGAAGAACGCAGCGAAAUGCGAUAAGUAAUGUGAAUUGCAGAAUUCAGUGAAUCAUCGAAUCUUUGAACGCACAUUGCGCCCCCUGGUAUUCCGGGGGGCAUGCCCGUUCGAGCGUCAUUUCACCACUCAAGCCUCGCUUGGUAUUGGGCAACGCGGUCCGCCGCGUGCCUCAAAUCGUCCGGCUGGGUCUUCUGUCCCCUAAGCGUUGUGGAAACUAUUCGCUAAAGGGUGUUCGGGAGGCUACGCCGUAAAACAACCCCAUUUCUAAGGUUGACCUCGGAUCAGGUAGGGAUACCCGCUGAACUUAA